CUUUAGUAUUUCUGGCUGUCCCUCGCCCAGCCUUGUUGUGUUUUUGGCUCCAACUGACUACACCUGCGACUCUUCUUGUGAAGACUGCCUGCCUCUAGGCUACUGGAGUGAUUUGGCUGGUGAGUACAGAGAGGAGGAAGUGCCUGGAGUUUACUUCCUGACCUCCUAUGUGAGCCCUUAGCCUGUGACUGCCUCUGGGGGAGUGUGAAAGUCCAGCUCCCUUGCCUUAGGUUGGGACAACUCUGAGGUGUAAUUUACACACUAGAGCUCCCUGGCAGGACUUUGCUUGGCUUCUUCCCCUGCACUGCCCUGCUCCCCAGCUCCCAGGGGCACUGCCUUCAUAGACCACUUGCUUAUGAACUGUCAUCUCAGGCUCUGCUUCUGGAGAAUUGGAUCUAUGAUAGUGUGGUAUUCGAAGAACAGUCCUGAUGAUGAAGCAGCCACUGGUAAAUCUUGAGAGGGUGGAGUAGUGAGAAGCAGAUGUCAGCUUGCAAAGGGCUGAGGAGUGAGUGGAUGAUAAGGAACUGGCUGGAGAUGUCAGCAGAGGAUAUUCAAUCAAGAAGUUUGAUGAAAUCUGAAGACCCGACCUUACUAUUGGCAAAGACAGACAAACACUCUACAAAUAGUGCUUGAAAAAUGCCACUGUUUGGUUCAGAUGGUGAAGAGGAACUCAGGAAGGCCUGGCAGUCUCUAGGAGGCUAGGGCAGUGGUUCUCAAAUGAUAGGGUGUACAGAAAUUCCCUGGAGGACUUGUGACAACAAAGAUUGCUAGGCCUACUCCCAGGGUUUCUAAUUCAGCAGGUCUGGGGAUGGAGCUCAAGUAUCUGCAUUUCUAACAAGUCCCCGGUGGUGCUGAUGCUGCUUGCAUGGACCAGUUUUGAGAACCAUACUUGGAGAAACACUUGGUUAGGAAAACUAUGUCUGUUACAGAUUGAUCAAAGGGCUCUUAAGUUCCUUUUGUACAAUAAAUCACUGCGAUAUCAAAUGAGGUAAAUGAACAUGCUCUUUGAACUCUUAACUUCUAGACCAAUAUAAAACAUUCUAAAUAUGAAAUGGAAACAUUUACAAUUGUUAUUGAUUCUCAUCAAUGCAAUGUUCAAUAAAGAUAAGAAUCACGUUUUCAGUCUCCACUCUUGAUUUUCUGCUUUGAUAUGGAUUUUUAGUUUUGCUUUCUUCUGAUAUGCUGGG
rnacentral:lncRNA from 1 species